GUGUUAAUCAGCUCAGUUAGACUCCCUUCCUUAUCACAAGGACAGAGGGCUUUCUGUAUCCUGGGGUUUCUUGCCUUGGUGUACUGGAAGAAUUGGAUCACGGGUGGGCUUGGAGAAUGAGUGCAAGGUUCUAUUGAGUAAAAGUAGCCCUCAGCAGAUGGGGGAGCCAGAAGAGAGAUGGUUUUUGCCUGCAGUCAGGCCAUUUGGCCGCCCCAGCUCUCCUCCAACUGCUCCAGCCAAACUCCGCCUCAUUCCGCCAGUCGAUGGCCAGCAUGUUGGCAUCUGUUGGUGUGCUCUUCCACUGGCAUGCUCCCUCAACGUUCUCUCGAUGUCCGGCCGCCUAUGUCUUCUUCUGCUGAUCUGCUCCUCUCCACGUCCAGCGGCUUGUGCGUCUGCCUGAUGAGGUCAGGAAGUGGCUAAGAAGAGAUCCAUGCGGAUUAACAUUCAGUGCUCAAUUUCUGAAGGAAACAGGGAGUGAAGGGCCAUGGGAGAAAACAGGGCUGCCACAAACAUGCUCUUGGCUGUUUGAAAAGAUCCAGCGCAGCUUGAACUUCAAAAAUAACUCCAUUCACUAUGGUUCCAGUUGGGCUUGGGGAAUUUCCCACAAUCAAAAGCAGCUGCUUCAUCUCAUUUAGCCAUUAGGCUGAGCUCCACAGGCUCGCUGCAGGAUCUUAGAGCCUGCAAGGCCCUGCUUCAGAGCGGCCGCGUUUUCCAGCAUGGAGUAGAUCAGCGAGUGUUUACAUUUGUGUUUGGAAUGCUCAUGAGUCCUUUGGGGCAAAGACUGAUUCAUUAAUCAGAGCUUUCUAUGAACGUAUCGCUGCCCAAGCCUCUGUGAAUGUGAGUACGGCCUUGUCCCCUGAGUGACGCUGAAAGAGAGUGAAGCACACGUGCUCCAUAGGACUGGCAUGGCCACCCCUCUCAUUCACUUUUCCAUUCAGCGCUGAGACUAAGUUUAACUCAUUUUCCUUUUGUUGUGAAAAGAGAAUGCACACAAAAAUUCAAAUGUUACCGAAUGGAUAUCAGGUUGGAAGCUGAUUCCCCUUGCCUGAGUCCGGGCUGUGUUUGGCGACACUUGUAAAGAAUGGAGUCUGGCUGAGGCAGAGGUGUUUGACUUUGAGGACUAGGUCCAAAGAAGGUAUUGUGGUUUCCAUCUUGACUGUUCUUUCUCCUGGAUAGCUGACUCUUAGGGAAGCCACACGCCACACCAUGAGCAGCUCUGCGGAGAGACCCAUGCAGCAAGGAACUGAGGCUUCCAGUCAAGAGCUGCGUGACUGAAUGAACUUGUUACCAAAACACCAGAGGUUUGGUCCGGGUCCUUCUGCUCACCGCAUGGAAAGCUCAUCACUGAAAUGACAAGUAUUGCCAAGGAAGGAUUUAAUCAGGUGCUGCAGCAAAGGACAUGGGAGCUCAGUCUCAAAUCCAUCUUGCUGACCUACUAAAACCAGGGAUUUGUAUGGCAGGAAAGAAAUGAAACAAUGUGUAAGAAAACAGGAACUAGGGAGGGGCACGGAAGCAAUCAUGAUGAAUGAGGGGGCAGCAUCUCAUUGUCUGAAUGUGGUGAUCUGCACCCAGUGAAGAGUAGUUACUGUAACAUUGUAGCACACUGCAUUACUCAGGUGUUUGUGGGGAUGCUGAUGUGAACAAAUCUGCAUGGCCAGUUGCGUAAAAGUAUAGCACACACGAUUAUGUACAGCACAUAAUAGGUGAUAGUGAUAAUAAAUGACUAUGUUACUGGUUUAUGU
rnacentral:lncRNA from 1 species